rnacentral:rRNA from 1 species
CAAUAGCGUAUAUUUAAGUUGCUGCAGUUAAAAAGCUCGUAGUUGGAUUUCGGGUGGGAAUGGCCGGUCCGCCGUUUCGGUGUGCACUUGCUACGCCCACCUUGCUGCCGGGGACGUGCUCUUGAGUUCACGCUCGGGACACGGAGUCGGCGAGGUUACUUUGAGUAAAUUAGAGUGUUCAAAGCAGGCCUACGCUCUGAAUACAUUAGCAUGGAAUAACACGAUAGGACUCUGGCCUAUCUUGUUGGUCUGUAGGACCGGAGUAAUGAUUAAGAGGGACAGUCGGGGGCAUUCGUAUUCAACUGUCAGAGGUGAAAUUCUUGGAUUUGUUGAAGACGAUCUACUGCGAAAGCAUUUGCCAGGGAUGUUUUCAUUGA